rnacentral:misc_RNA from 1 species
UUUCCGUAGGUGAACCUGCGGAAGGAUCAUUAUUGAAUAACCGAGGUGCGAGGGCUGACGCUGACCCGAAAGGUCGGGGACGCCCGAGUGGCCUCACACACAACCAUCGCACCACAAUGUGCACCACCGCGAGGGUCUGCCUGUGGAUUGUUCGGAGGGGGGAUUACGAUUACACACAAAAAUUGUAGGCAGUGUAGAAUGUAUUUUGUGUAUUUACGAAGACGCAAUGAAGACAACUUGCAACAACGGAAGUAUUGGCUCUCGCAUCGAGGAAAAACG